rnacentral:rRNA from 1 species
GAGGACCGAACCGACUAAUGUUGAAAAAUUAGCGGAUGACUUGUGGCUGGGGGUGAAAGGCCAAUCAAACCGGGAGAUAGCUGGUUCUCCCCGAAAGCUAUUUAGGUAGCGCCUCGUGAACUCAUCUUCGGGGGUAGAGCACUGUUUCGGCUAGGGGGUCAUCCCGACUUACCAACCCGAUGCAAACUGCGAAUACCGAAGAAUGUUAUCACGGGAGACACACGGCGGGUGCUAACGUCCGUCGUGAAGAGGGAAACAACCCAGACCGCCAGCUAAGGUCCCAAAGUCACAGUUAAGUGGGAAACGAUGUGGGAAGGCUCAGACAGCCAGGAUGUUGGCUUAGAAGCAGCCAUCAUUUAAAGAAAGCGUAAUAGCUCACUGGUCGAGUCGGCCUGCGCGGAAGAUGUAACGGGGCUAAACUGUGCACCGAAGCUGCGGCAGCGACGCUUAUGCGUUGUUGGGUAGGGGAGCGUUCUGUAAGCCUGCGAAGGUGUCCUGUGAGGGAUGCUGGAGGUAUCAGAAGUGCGAAUGCUGACAUAAGUAACGAUAAUGCGGGUGAAAAGCCCGCUCGCCGGAAGACCAAGGGUUCCUGUCCAACGUUAAUCGGGGCAGGGUGAGUCGACCCCUAAGGCGAGGCCGAAAGGCGUAGUCGAUGGGAAACGGGUUAAUAUUCCCGUA